GCCCUGGUAGUUCAACGGAUAGAACAUCGGUCUUCGGAACCGACAGUGGGGGUUCGAUUCCCUCCUGGGGCA
rfam:Leptospira biflexa serovar Patoc strain &apos;Patoc 1 (Paris)&apos; chromosome I, complete sequence.